CAUGUAGGCGGCCAUGCAAGCUUGGUGUGGAAUUCCGUGGCUCAACCACGGAACUGCAUUGAGAACUAUAUGGCUGGAGUUAGUGAGGGGGAGCCGGAAUUCCAGGUGUAGGGGUGAAAUCUGUAGAUAUCUGGAAGAACACCAAUGGCGAAGGCAGGCUUCUAUCACAUGACUGACGCUGAGGUGCGAAGGUGCGGGGAGCAAACA
rnacentral:rRNA from 1 species